rnacentral:rRNA from 1 species
UUGUAAAGUACUUUCAGCAGUGAGGAAGGUGGGUAUGUUAAUAGCAUACUCAUUUGACGUUAGCUGCAGAAGAAGCACCGGCUAACUCCGUGCCAGCAGCCGCGGUAAUACGGAGGGUGCGAGCGUUAAUCGGAAUUACUGGGCGUAAAGCGCAUGCAGGUGGUUUGUUUAAGUCAGAUGUGAAAGUACCCCGGGGCCGUUCAACCUCGGAAUUGCAUUUGAAACUGGCAAACUAGAGUACUGUAGAGGGGGUAGAAUUUCAGGUGUAGCGGUGAAAUGCGUAGAGAUCUGAAGGAAUACCGGUGGCGAAGGCGGCCCCCUGGACAGAUACUGACACUCAGAUUGCGAAAGCGUGGGGAGCAAACAGGAUUAGAUACCCUGGUAG